AGCAGCGAGAAAAGACAGCAGACCAUCGCACAUCCCUUGGAGAAGUCAUUCUCCAGAUCAUCGGCGAGCUCUGCGGAAAUCUGACAUUGAACCUGUUCAUUUGAAUCAGGUGUGUUGCAACUUGGAAAACAUGCAGGACAGCGGCCCCCCAGGACCUGAGUUUGACACCCCUGUUCUAAAGCAACUCAUUUCGUUUGCGCUGCAAACUUGACAAAAAUACCGGUGCCAGCAGCUCACGGCUUACAAAAGCUCGCCGACCAACUUGAACAAGCAUAUUGAGACGCGCCAAUUGCGGGCACGCCCUCGUGACUUCCGUUGCCCUUUUUGAGGUGGAGGGACCUCGGACAGAUGAGAGAUUCCAGGACUGAGGCCGAAUUAGCAACAUUUGGACCUGGCAGGGACCUGGCACUCGCAACGCUCUCAAUCGUCCAGACUUCCCUCGCGCGUGUGUGCGCGUCGUCAUGAGUAGAAAUGAUCUCAUCCAUAUUCUCGGGAUGAACCGCAGUGGCUCCGCUGGCUGACUUUAACGAAGGCCCAUAAAACCCUCCUGCGGCCGUUCACCACGGUCGCCCAUAACAACACUUGGCACCACUGAUCAUGAAUGUGAAAUGCAAGCAUCAUAGGGGAAAUAUUCAUUCAUUCUGUCGACAAUUUGGAAUAAUAAUGCCUUUUUUUUUCUUUCUUUUACCAACCUGUGACUGCUUAACUCAGUGAAAAGCGGUUUCCGUCCAAUAUGCAGUGGAACCUUUUGAGGUCCUUCUUUUUACUUGCCGCUCCAAAGGUCACUGCACGCCCUUGAGGAGCACACGAGAGCUCGAAUUCAAACUGCCAACCUCCGAACCGUGCGCCAGAUGUGCUCAGCACUAGGUCACCGUGCCACCACACCAUGAUCAGUCAUUCACCCAAAAAAAAAAAAAAAAAAAAAAAAAA